rnacentral:rRNA from 1 species
AGCGAACGCUGGCGGCAGGCCUAACACAUGCAAGUCGAACGAACUCUUCGGAGUUAGUGGCGGACGGGUGAGUAACACGUGGGAACGUGCCCUUUGGUUCGGAAUAACUCAGGGAAACUUGUGCUAAUACCGAAUGCGCCCUUCGGGGGAAAGAUUUAUCGCCAUUAGAGCGGCCCGCGUCUGAUUAGCUAGUUGGUGAGGUAACGGCUCACCAAGGCGACGAUCAGUAGCUGGUCUGAGAGGAUGACCAGCCACACUGGGACUGAGACACGGCCCAGACUCCUACGGGAGGCAGCAGUGGGGAAUCUUGCGCAAGGGGCGAAAGCCUGACGCAGCCAUGCCGCGUGAAUGAUGAAGGUCUUAGGAUUGUAAAAUUCUUUCACCGGGGACGAUAAUGACGGUACCCGGAGAAGAAGCCCCGGCUAACUUCGUG